CUGUCGUCAGCUCGUGUCGUGAGAUGUUGGGUUAAGUCCGUAACGAGCGCAACCCUUGUCCUUAGUUACCAGCACGUUAUGGUGGGCACUCUAAGGAGACUGCCGGUGCAAACCGGAGGAAAGGUGGGGAUGACGUCAAGUCAUCAUGGCCCUUACGGCCUGGGCUACACACGUGCUACAAUGGUCGGUACAAAGGGUUGCCAAGCCGCGAGGUGGAGCUAAUCCCAUAAAACCGAUCGUAGUCCGGAUCGCAGUCUGCAACUCGACUGCGUGAAGUCGGAAUCGCUAGUAAUCGUGAAUCAGAAUGUCACGGUGAAUACGUUCCCGGGCCUU
rnacentral:rRNA from 1 species